GAUAUAUUAUAAUUAUAUUGUUUAAAUUUUGGGAUCAAACAAGUCGAUCGAUUGUUGUCGUUGAUUCGGCGAAUUUAUGGUUUGGUAGAUUUUUUCUAGUUUGGCAACUUUGUUCGUGGUUCUUGUGUCAGACUGACAGCUGGCUGAGCUGAGAGACAGGUUAUGGAAAGUGGGGACGUCGCGAGAGCGCCGGAGACUCCACUGCCGUAACAAUAAUGUGGGCAAAUUAAAGCCACGAUUUAUCGGCGACAUCAAGAGCCGAUGUCUCGAUUUAAAUAAAUAACUUAACCGAGAUGCAACAUCACUGAAAUCCCAUCGCCGAAGGUCCAGUGGGUGGGUUUAGGUUUCAUCCGAGCGAUGCCCAACUAUCCCGGAUGAACCUAUGGGGUUGUUUUUUGUUUUCUUUAAAGUUUUAACGUUUUAAUUUUCGAACGUUUUGCAAGUUUUAAUUUAAGAAGAAGUUUAUGAUUGGAUCAGAUGAUUUCAACAAUGAUUUUGUGAAUGAAGAUUGCUACUGUUUUCUUCUGCGUUUGCAAGUUAUUUCAAGCUUCAUUUCGGCGGAGCUUGCCUUGGUUGUUUGCACGUCGAAGCUUUCCUUUGUGCGGCGCGCAUGUGGAUGUGCCGCGCCUCACCUUUUGUCAACACUCCGGAUAAGGCCCGGUGAAGGACUGCGAGGUUGACCGGUGGACGUGCAGCCCGCCAGCUGCGUAACAGUUGGCCCGCUGCGCCGCCAUCGUCCAGCACGCCCUGGCCUGAGCCGGCCUCAACUCAUCACCUGUACGGUAUUCCGGAACGCCUCAGGUAGGCCUGAUAGUCGGAGGUCCUCGAGUAAGUGAGGUGCCUACAGGUGUACGGACAGUGUUUUGAAAUAUAGUGAUAUCCCACGGUUGUUACGGAGUGACAAUUAACCUGACGGACCAAAGCGCGACCUGUCUCCCUCCAUAGGGUUUUUGACCUACCUAUGGUUAAUGAAAUUUGUAGAUUUAAAAAAUAUACAUUGUACAAAUUCAA
rnacentral:lncRNA from 1 species